CAAAAAACCCACAACCGCUUCUAAGUUUUGGUAGACGACGAAGUUGACAAGACUACUGAAUUGUUCAGAUAAGCUCCUCCUCUCUCUUUCUCUCUCUCUCUCUCUCUCCGCCGCUGCUUCUUCACAUCGCAUCUUAGGAACAUAGUGAUUUAUUGAGCUUAUAUGGCUUCGAUUGUGGUUAAUUUGCCUUGUAAUGUUGGAGCAAUCAAGGGUUUGGAUUGUGCAAACUAUGUGGGUUUAAAACCAUCUGUGAAUCAUAAUUUUGUAUGUGUUCGUCCCCAAAGCAAAGCAUGUAAUCGUCGUCGAUUGUUGAUUGUGAGAGCGAGCGAAACGUGUGAUGGACCGAUGAGGAAGAUGGGUUUGAGUGAUGAGGAAUGUGAGGCUGCUGUGGUAGCUGGGAAUGUGCCCCAAGCUCCU